rnacentral:rRNA from 1 species
NAACUUUUAAACAACGGAUCUCUUGGCUCCGCAUCCGAUGAAGACGCAGCAAAUGCGAUCCGUAAUGUGAAUGCGAAUUCGGAAUUCAUUGAAAUCUUUGAACGCACCUUGCGGCCCCUGGUACGAAGGGCACCCCCUUUGAGG